rnacentral:rRNA from 1 species
GAUGAACGCUGGCGGCGUGCUUAACACAUGCAAGUCGAACGGUGAAGCAGAGCUUGCUCUGUGGAUCAGUGGCGAACGGGUGAGUAACACGUGAGCAAUCUGCCCCUGACUCUGGGAUAAGCGCUGGAAACGGCGUCUAAUACCGGAUACGAGCUGCGAAGGCAUCUUCAGCAGCUGGAAAGAAUUUCGGUCAGGGAUGAGCUCGCGGCCUAUCAGCUUGUUGGUGAGGUAACGGCUCACCAAGGCGUCGACGGGUAGCCGGCCUGAGAGGGUGACCGGCAAAGCUGGGACUGAGACACGGCCCAGACUCCUAGGGGAGGCAGCAGUGGGGAAUAUUGCACAAUGGGCGAAAGCCUGAUGCAGCAACGCCGCGUGAGGGACGACGGCCUUCGGGUUGUAAGCCUCUUUUAGCAGGAAAGAAGCGAAAGUGACGGUACCUGCAGAAAAAGCGCCGGCUAACUACGUGCCGGCAGCCGCCGCAGUAA